AACGAACGCUGGCGGCAGGCCUAACACAUGCAAGUCGAGCGCACCUUCGGGUGAGCGGCGGACGGGUUAGUAACGCGUGGGAACGUACCCUUUUCUACGGAAUAGCCUUUGGAAACGAAGAGUAAUACCGUAUACGCCCUUUGGGGGAAAGAUUUAUCGGAGAAGGAUCGGCCCGCGUUAGAUUAGAUAGUUGGUGGGGUAACGGCCUACCAAGUCUACGAUCUAUAGCUGGUUUUAGAGGAUGAUCAGCAACACUGGGACUGAGACACGGCCCAGACUCCUACGGGAGGCAGCAGUGGGGAAUCUUAGACAAUGGGCGCAAGCCUGAUCUAGCCAUGCCGCGUGAGUGAUGAAGGCCUUAGGGUCGUAAAGCUCUUUCGCCUGUGAUGAUAAUGACAGUAGCAGGUAAAGAAACCCCGGCUAACUCCGUGCCAGCAGCCGCGGUAAUACGGAGGGGGUUAGCGUUGUUCGGAAUUACUGGGCGUAAAGCGCACGUAGGCGGAUUGGAAAGUUGGGGGUGAAAUCCCGGGGCUCAACCCCGGAACUGCCUCCAAAACUAUCAGUCUAGAGUUCGAGAGAGGUGAGUGGAAUUCCAAGUGUAGAGGUGAAAUUCGUAGAUAUUUGGAGGAACACCAGUGGCGAAGGCGGCCUCACUGGCUCGAUACUGA
rnacentral:rRNA from 1 species